CCAACAGGGAUUGCCUCAGUAACGGCGAGUGAAGCGGCAACAGCUCAAAUUUGAAAUCUGGCCUCACGGUCCGAGUUGUAAUUUGCAGAGGAUGUCUCGGGCGCGAUACCGGUCUAAGUUCCUUGGAACAGGACGUCACAGAGGGUGAGAAUCCCGUACGUGACCGGUGGUCAACCCCAUGUGAGGCUCCUUCGACGAGUCGAGUUGUUUGGGAAUGCAGCUCUAAAUGGGUGGUAAAUUUCAUCUAAAGCUAAAUAUUGGCCAGAGACCGAUAGCGCACAAGUAGAGUGAUCGAAAGAUGAAAAGCACUUUGGAAAGAGAGUUAAAAAGUACGUGAAAUUGUUGAAAGGGAAGCGCUUGCAACCAGACUUGCCCGCGGGUGAUCAACCGUCCUUCGGGGCGGUGCACUCGCCCGCGAUCAGGCCAGUAUCGGUUUCAGCAGCCGGACAAAGACCCCGGGAACGUGGCUCCUCUCGGGGAGUGUUAUAGCCCGGGGUGUAAUACGGUUAGCGGGGACCGAGGACCGCGCUUCGGCUAGGAUACUGGCGUAAUGGUUGUCAGCGACCCGUCUUGAAACACGGACCAAGGAGUCUACCAUCUAUGCGAGUGUUUGGGUGUCAAACCCAUGCGCGUAAUGAAAGUGAACGGAGGUGGGAACCCUUCGGGGGGCACCAUCGACCGAUCCUGAUGUCUUCGGAUGGAUUUGAGUACGAGCAUAGCUGGUGGGACCCGAAAGAUGGUGAACUAUGCGUGAAUAG
rnacentral:rRNA from 1 species